rnacentral:rRNA from 1 species
CCUACGGGUGGCAGCAGUGAGGAAUAUUGGUCAAUGGGCGGAAGACUGAACCAGCCAAGUAGCGUGCAGGAUGAAGGCCCUACGUGUUGUAAACUGCUUUUAUACGGGAAUAACGCCUCUUACGUGUAGGGCUUUGCAUGUACCGUAAGAAUAAGGACUGGCUAAUUCCGUGCCAGCAGCCGCGGUAAUACGGAAGGUCCGGGCGUUAUCCGGAUUUAUUGGGUUUAAAGGGAGCGGAGGCCGCUUGUUAAGUGUGCUGUGAAACGUCCGGGCUCAACCCGGGCCUUGCAGCGCGAACUGGCGUGCUUGAGGUGGCGGAAAGCAGGCGGAAUGCGUCGUGUAGCGGUGAAAUGCUUAGAUAUGACGAAGAACCCCGAUUGCGAAGGCAGCUUGCUGCAGCGGAACUGACGCUGAUGCUCGAAAGCGCGGGUAUCGAACAGGAUUAGAUACCCGGGUAGUC